rnacentral:rRNA from 1 species
AUUGAACGCUGGCGGCAGGCCUAACACAUGCAAGUCGAGCGAGCGGCGGACGGGUGAGUAAUGUCUGGGAAACUGCCCGAUGGAGGGGGAUAACAACUGGAAACGGUAGCUAAUACCGCAUACCAUCAGAUGUGCCCAGAUGGGAUUAGCUAGUCGGUGGGGUAACGGCUCACCUAGGCGACGAUCCCUAGCUGGUCUGAGAGGAUGACCAGCCACACUGGAACUGAGACACGGUCCAGACGCCUACGGGAGGCAGCAGUGGGGAAUAUUGCACAAUGGGCGCAAGCCUGAUGCAGCCAUGCCGCGUGUGUGAAGAAGGCCUUCGGGUUGUAAAGCACUUUCAGCGGGGAGGCGUUACCCGCAGAAGAAGCACCGGCUAACUCCGUGCCAGCAGCCGCGGUAAUAC